UUGAAAGGGAAACGAUUGAAGUCAGUCGUACCGGUGGGUAAUCAGCCUUUCGGCGUGAUUAUGUGGAGCGUGAGGAGUUAAACGCCCUCAUGCCUGCAUAUUCGUGUUCUUUGGGUGUACUUACCCGCAUGGUAGGUUAACAUCAAUUUCGAACGUCAUAAAAUGGUUGGAGGAAUGUAGCUUCGAUCUCGUAUUGAAGUGUUAUAGCCUUCGGCAGAUGUGAUGAUCGGGAUUGAGGAUUGCAACGGAUACCCCUCGGGCUACCCGUCUGAUCUCUGAAAGUUACUCUGGCGCCGAAAGCUCGCUUACGGUCAUCAAAGUUGACGUUCAACAGGUUAGAACGGGAUAAAUUCGUUAAGGAUGUUGACGUA
rnacentral:rRNA from 1 species